rnacentral:lncRNA from 1 species
UGGUUUGCUGCUCUCUGAUUUUAUCUAAAAGCUUAUGGUGUAUUUCUUGUUUAGUUUUUUUUUUCAUCUUGGUUUAUGUUAAUGUAUUUUCUCAUUUGGCAGGCUGAAGUAAAUUUUCUUGGUGACCUCAUUCAUCCCAAUCUAGUUAAACUGAUUGGUUAUUGUAUUGAAGAUGAUCAAAGGCUGCUAGUUUAUGAAUUUAUGCAAAGUCCAUUGUUAAUGUCUUUUCUUGUUUGUCAGGCAGAAGUAAGUUUUCUUGGUGACCUCAUUCAUCCCAAUCUAGUUAAACUGAUUGGUUAUUGUAUUGAAGAUGAUCAAAGGCUGCUAGUUUAUGAAUUUAUGCCUCGAGGAAGCUUGGAGAACC